rnacentral:rRNA from 1 species
GACGAACGCUGGCGGCGUGCUUAACACAUGCAAGUCGAGCGGAAAGGCCCUUCUGGGUCCUCGAGCGGCGAACGGGUGAGUAACACGUGAGUAACCUUCCCUCGACUUUGGGAUAACCCCCGGCAACGGGGGCUAAUACCGGAUACUCCUUCUAAAUCGCAUGAUUGGGUUGGGAAAGUUUUUCGGGCUGGGAUGUACUCGCGGCCUAUCAGCUUGUUGGUGGGGUAAUGGCAUACCAAGGCGAGGACGGGUAGCCGGCCUGGGAGGGGGAACGGCCACAAUGGGACUGAGAGACGGACCAGACUGCUACGGGAGGCAGCAGUGGGGAAUAUUGCACAAUGGGCGGAAGCCUGAUGCAGCGGCGCCGGGUGAGGGAUGACGGCCUUCGGGUUGUAAACCUCUUUCAGCAGGGACGAAGCGUAAGUGACGGUACCUGCAGAAGAAGCGCCGGCCAACUACGUG